rnacentral:rRNA from 1 species
UACGUAGGGUCCAAGCGUUAUCCGGAAUCACUGGGCGUAAAGCGUUUGUAGGCGGGAAUCUAAGUGAGAUGCGAAAUCUUGUGGCUCAACCACAUAGACGGUAUCUCAUACUGGGUUCCUAGAAGAUGGCAGAGGCAAGUGGAAUUAGUAGUGUAGCGGUAAAAUGCGUAGAUAUUACUAGGAACACCAAUGGCGAAGGCAGCUUGCUGGGCCAUUCUUGACGCUGAGAAACGAAAGCGUGGGGAGCGAACAGG